AUGGACACCCCGCAAAAGAAGGCUGGAUCCACGGGCAGGAAGAUAGCGUCUCCGUGCCCGGAUGCUGUCCGGCUGGUCAGCCAGUGGACACUCUCCACCGGCUGCUUCUUCCUCGUCAUCUUCGCACUCGACCACGCUUUCGACCACUUCAAUUUCCAAAUCCCGUGCAGCCCGUCCGGGAUCUUUCUGCGGUGCGUCGAGCCCACGGACGCGGUGGCCCUUGCCAACGCCGCCGCAGAAAGCGCCGGCUGGAUCGGGAUGCUGUGGUGCGGCGCGGCACAGACGGCCGCGGCCGCGCUGGCUCUGCAUCUCCCAUGCCGCUACCGCCGGGUCCGCCGUGCCCUCGCCUACAUCGCCCGCGCGCUCGCCAUCGUCGGCCACAGCCUGCACGCCCGCGCCACCGUCCUCCUCUACGCCGCGGACCCAGGAUCCCUCUUCGCCGUGAUGGGCUGGACCCUGAUCAUAGUCUUCUUGGCGGUGUUCGACCUCCUCUGCUUCCUGAUCCUCAUGCUGGGACGUGAGGUGAGGACUGAGUGCGACUGA
rnacentral:rRNA from 1 species